rnacentral:rRNA from 1 species
UACGUAGGGGCCUAGCGUUGUCCGGAUUUAUUGGGCGUAAAGAGCUCGUAGGCGGUUUGGUGAGUCGGGUGUGAAAACUCAGGGCUUAACCCUGAGCCUGCUUCCGAUACGGGCAGACUGGAGUUCGGCAGGGGAGACUGGAAUUCCUGGUGUAGCGGUGAAAUGCGCAGAUAUCAGGAGGAACACCGGUGGCGAAGGCGGGUCUCUGGGCCGAUACUGACGCUGAGGAGCGAAAGCGUGGGGAGCGAACAGG